AUUGAACGCUGGCGGCAUGCCUUACACAUGUAAGUCGAACGGCAGCACGGGAGCAAUCCUGGUGGCGAGUGGCGAACGGGUGAGUAAUAUAUCGGAACGUGCCCAGUCGUGGGGGAUAACGCAGCGAAAGCUGUGCUAAUACCGCAUACGAUCUACGGAUGAAAGCGGGGGAUCGCAAGACCUCGCGCGAUUGGAGCGGCCGAUAUCAGAUUAGCUAGUUGGUGGGGUAAAGGCCUACCAAGGCGACGAUCUGUAGCUGGUCUGAGAGGACGACCAGCCACACUGGAACUGAGACACGGUCCAGACUCCUACGGGAGGCAGCAGUGGGGAAUUUUGGACAAUGGGCGCAAGCCUGAUCCAGCAAUGCCGCGUGCAGGAUGAAGGCCUUCGGGUUGUAAACUGCUUUUGUACGGAACGAAACGGUGAGCUCUAAUACAGUUUGCUAAUGACGGUACCGUAAGAAUAAGCACCGGCUAACUACGUGCCAGCAGCCGCGGUAA
rnacentral:rRNA from 1 species